rnacentral:rRNA from 1 species
UACGGAGGAUGCGAGCGUUAUCCGGAUUUAUUGGGUUUAAAGGGUGCGUAGGCGGGUUAUCAAGUCAGCGGUAAAAUCGUGGAGCUCAACUCCAUCCAGCCGUUGAAACUGAUGAUCCUGAGUGGGCGAGAAGUAUGCGGAAUGCGUGGUGUAGCGGUGAAAUGCAUAGAUAUCACGCAGAACUCCGAUUGCGAAGGCAGCAUACCGGCGCCCGACUGACGCUGAAGCACGGAAGCGUGGGUAUCGAACAGG